rnacentral:rRNA from 1 species
AUUGAACGCUGGCGGCAGGCCUAACACAUGCAAGUCGAGCGGAUGAGGGUAGCUUGCUAUCUGAUUCAGCGGCGGACGGGUGAGUAAUGCCUAGGAAUCUGCCUGGUAGUGGGGGACAACGUUUCGAAAGGAACGCUAAUACCGCAUACGUCCUACGGGAGAAAGUGGGGGAUCUUCGUACCUCACGCUAUCAGAUGAGCCUAGGUACGAUUAGCUAGUUGGUGAGGUAAAGGCUCACCAAGGCGACGAUCGUUAACUGGUCUGAGAGGAUGAUCAGUCACACUGGAACUGAGACACGGUCCAGACUCCUACGGGAGGCAGCAGUGGGGAAUAUUGGACAAUGGGCGAAAGCCUGAUCCAGCCAUGUCGCGUGUGUGAAGAAGGUCUUCGGAUUGUAAAGCACUUUAAGUUGGGAGGAAGGGCAGUAAGUUAAUACCUUGCUGUUUUGACGUUACCGACAGAAUAAGCACCGGCUAACUUCGUGCCAGCCGCCGCGGUAACAC